rnacentral:rRNA from 1 species
UGAUUGGGCUGAAGUUGUAACAAGGUAGCUGUAGGUGAACCUGCAGAAGGAUCA